rnacentral:rRNA from 1 species
GACGAACGCUGGCGGCGUGCUUAACACAUGCAAGUCGAACGGAAAGGCGCUGCUCUUGUUGGGUUCUCGAGAGGCGAACGGGUGAGUAACACGUGAGUAACCUGCCCUUGUCUUUGGGAUAACUCCAGGAAACUGGGGCUAAUAUCCGAUAGGAGCUCCUGCAGCACGGGGGGGGUUGGAAAGUUUCGGCGGUGGUGGAUGGUCUCGCGGGUUAUGAGCUUGAUGGUGGAGUAGGGGCUUACCAAGGCUAUGAGGGGUAGCCGGCCUGAGAGGGUGACCGGCCUCAAGGGGACUACGGUACGGCCCAGACGGCUACGGGACGCAGCAGUGGGGAACAUUGCGCAAUAGCCGGGAGCCUGUUGCAGCGGCGCCGCGUGCGGAAUGACGUCCUUCGGGUUGUAAACAACUUUGGAAUGUGCCGAAGAGUGAGUGACGGUAACGGGUCAGGAAGCACCGGCUAACUACGUG